rnacentral:rRNA from 1 species
AGAGUUUGAUCCUGGCUCAGGAUGAACGCUGGCGGUAUGCUUAACACAUGCAAGUCGAGCGGACUCUUCGGAGUUAGUGGCGGACGGGUGAGUAACGCGUGAGAAUCUGGCUUCAGGUUCGGGACAACAGUUGGAAACGGCUGCUAAUACCGGAUGUGCCUUAUGGUGAAAGAUUUAUCACCUGAAGAUGAGCUCGCGUCUGAUUAGCUAGUAGGUGUGGUAAGAGCGCACCUAGGCGACGAUCAGUAGCUGGUCUGAGAGGAUGAUCAGCCACACUGGGACUGAGACACGGCCCAGACUCCUACGGGAGGCAGCAGUGGGGAAUUUUCCGCAAUGGGCGAAAGCCUGACGGAGCAAUACCGCGUGAGGGAGGAAGGCUCUUGGGUUGUAAACCUCUUUUCUCAGGGAAGAAUGAUGACGGUACCUGAGGAAUAAGCAUCGGCUAACUCCGUGCCAGCAGCCGCGGUAAUACGGAGGAUGCAAGCGUUAUCCGGAAUGAUUGGGCGUAAAGCGUCCGCAGGUGGCAAUGUAAGUCUGCUGUCAAAGCGUCUGGCUCAACCAGAUAAAGGCAGUGGAAACUACAUAGCUAGAGUAAGGUAGGGGUAGAGGGAAUUCCUGGUGUAGCGGUGAAAUGCGUAGAGAUCAGGAAGAACACCGGUGGCGAAAGCGCUCUGCUGGACCUUAACUGACACUGAGGGACGAAAGCUAGGGGAGCGAAUGGGAUUAGAUACCCUAGUAGUCC